rnacentral:rRNA from 1 species
AUUGCACAAUGGGCGAAAGCCUGAUGCAGCGACGCCGCGUGGGGGAUGAAGGCCUNCGNNUUGUANANCCCUUUCAGCAGGGANNNNNCGAAAGUGACGAUACCUGCAGAAGAAGCGCCGGCUAACUACGUUCCAGCAGCCGCGGUAAUACGUAGGGCGCAAGCGUUGUCCGGAAUUAUUGGGCGUAAAGAGCUCGUAGGCGGUUUGUCGCGUCUGCUGUGAAAACCCGAGGCUCAACCUCGGGCCUGCAGUGGGUACGGGCAGACUAGAGUGCGGUAGGGGGGACUGGAAUUCCUGGUGUAGCGGUGGAAUGCGCAGAUAUCAGGAGGAACACCGAUGGCGAAGGCAGGUCUCUGGGCCGCAACUGACGCUGAGGAGCGAAAGCGUGGGGAGCAAACAGG